GUGACCAUGUCCCUAUCAGUACCAGAGCAAAGUGAGAGUGUAUACGAUAACAUCAGCUGUAGAUGAAACACACACACACACACACACACAAAGGCAGUAACCAGAGCUGCUUUGGUUGAAUACAAUCGAUGAUAAGAGCCGUGCAUGUCAGGAGGAAGCUCAGUGACAGGGAGCUUGCAGUAUCUGCUUCUUCUGUUUUCCUUUUCCUCAAAGGUGCAAGGUUAUUGUGAGCGAAGGCUAUUUCUUCCCCCGUGUGCCCUGAACCUGAGAGUCUGGGGCUAUGUGUUGCAGUUUUGAGGUAAUGGUUUUAUUUUUGCUCCUGGUGCAUGCUUGUGUUUCUGCUUUCUGGUCUUGAGUCAAUCGCACUCUUAAUCAUGUCGCUGCAGGAGCGAGAGUUGAGCUCAAGCUCUGACCAGGUAAGGGCCACAUUUUUUAUUUCUUUCUUUUCUAAUUUAUUUUAAUUUUAUUUUUAAUGUGGGUGAUGAAAAGUGUAAGUAGGCUUAGUAAAAAUGCCAACAUUAUAUUUUACUUUAUUCAAACAAAAGUGAACAAAUAUUUGAAUUCACUGACGCAGACUCUACAGGGGACGCCAUUACUCAACAACAUAUGCAAAGCACUUGUUUACCACUGUGUUGAUAUUCAAAAUCUUGUAAAUAUGAAUUUCAACUCAACAAUUUAAAAGGCUUUGGGAGAACGGGAGCAGAGUGUGAAAGUGUUUCUUCACUUUAAUCAGGUGCUACAGUAUUUCUGCUUCUUUCUCAUUUAAGAGGAAAAUUGUUGUCUUUUGAGGCUGAAACUGAUGUCAGUGUUUGGUGCUUCCACGUAAUCUUUUUUUCUUUUAAUGUAAAAACUUGAUUCCUAUAAGAGCACUAAAGUGAUUUGGUUCACGUUUCCCUUUCAGUAAACGCUCUCCCGUCAGCAGGAACUCAGACCACUUGACUAAAUGAUGCCUCUGUGCAGUAACAACGCUGCAGUAAUUCACCAGAAUCUGGAUAAACAUUUGUCCAUUUAGCAUUUAGUUAAAGUCAAGUCAAGUCAAGUCAAGAGAUCUUUAUUGUCCCCGGAGGGCAAUUUGUAGCUCCAUCGUCCGAGGCCAUUACACCCCAGUGAGUAAAUGAGUUUUUGACCAGUUAUGUUUAACUCUUUUAACUCAUUCCUCUCCCAGCCCUGAGGAAAGUCAUUAGUCAUGAAUGUUUUGAGUGGAACUUCCUUUUUACAUCUGGGACAGAGCUCAGUGUUUUCUAUUUCAUCUAACGCUGUUUAAUCAGCAGCUCAGAAUCGUUCUGAAGUAAAAGACUAAAAUAAAAUACUGUAUUAAUGACUGUAACACUUCACUGAGCUCCACUGUGUUGUUGUUGUUUUCUUAUUCCUGGUUGUGAGGUCACAGUUCAUGCACAGGUUCACUCGUGAUUUUGAAUCUUUGAAUUUUCCUGUGAAUGAGAGUGGAAACACGAAGGACACGGAGGUUAUCUCCAGUGAGGUGGAGACGGAAUCAUUAACAAGCCUCUAAGGAAAUGGAGAAAUUAAUUAACCCAGUCCACCACAAAUGAUGGAAGACCAUUGCAGCUGCACGAGGAGCAAAGAAAACAAAGCAGCUGCAGCAGCAGAUGUUUGUACCAGAGGAGGUGAAGGUGCAGCUGAUAAGGCUUAUAUACAGAUAUUCAAGGAAGUGGCCAGCAGAAAGACAGGAAGCAGACCCGAGAGGCACACAAGGCUCAGACCUUGCCUGGCUUCUACUUCCCUCUGCACGACUUGUUUCUCAUCUUUCAGGUGACACCGUUAAACAAUGACCAAAGGUUUGAUUCCCAAAGCAUGUAGUACUCAAGACUCUAGUGCUUGCAUUCCAUGCUACAAACGGAUCCGGUCCAGCCUACAUCCAGGACAUGAUCAAAACCUACACCCCAGCCCACUCACUCCGCUCUGCAUCAGUAAACCGGCUUGCUGCCCCCUCACUGAGAGGAUCGCGGAGGCAUUCACAGAACUUGGGACUGUUCACUGUCCUAGCUCCCAAAUGGUGGA